UUUUAAAAAUUUUUAUUAAAAUCUAAACAUUUUAUUAUAUUCUAAUUUUUUGUUUCUUUAGAUUUUUCAUCUGGCGCAAUUAAAAUAAAAUUUAAGUAAUGAUUUUUGAAUUUUUUUUUUGUACUUUCACUAUGACAAAGCAUACGAAUGAAUGAAUGAAUGGCAUCCAACUCUAGACCUGCAUAAAUCUCAAAGGUCUCAAAGUUUAUAUUUUAAAUAUUCUUUUUUAUUUCUUUAGGUUUUAAUUGUAACAAUUACAAAGUCUAUUGCUCACCAGGAUCUUAGCACCUAGGAACACUUUAAGAGAAAUCCUUCAACAAAUAGUGUGAAAAUGGGGGUAUGGAUGAGCUCUUUCAAGUAGAGGCCUAACCCAUACAGUGGCAAUGGCAGACACAAAAUAAAUAAUAAAAAAAAAAAAAAGUAAAAAAAAAUUAUUAACAACUUUUUGGUUUUCAUAAUAUAUGUUGUAAGCACAAGAAAAUAAAAAUACCAAAUAAAAACUCUUUUAUUUGAUAUUUUUUAUUAAAUAAAUUUAGCGUUGUAUUUUGCUUUUUCCAUUUCUUUUUUUUUUUUCAUUUAAAUUAUUUAUUAUUUGAAGCUACAAUUUUGAUUCACAUGGUUGUAAUUCCUCCUUUAUAUAUUUACUUUAAUUAAAACCAUUUUUGGUUUAAAUUUUCUUAAUAAUUAGCUCACAGUGUCGCUGAAUGAACUUUAGGUUGAAAAAAAUUGUACAGAAAAACUGUUUACACAUAUUGUUAGCUUUUAGUCUGGCGACUCUAAAAUUAUAUUCCAAAAAAUUUUAACAUUCUGUCUUGAUAAAAUAUGGCAUUUUACAAAAAACAAAAAAAGACGUUUUUUAGAUAAUGCUAUAUUUACGUAUAUUAAAAAACUUUAGAUGUUUAUAACUUUAUUAUAUGUUCAUUUCAAAUAAUUUAUUGAAAACACUGUAUUCUAUGUAAUUUAUUUAUUUAAAAUUUCUCUGUAUGAUAGCUAAUAUAACAAGAUAUUUCAUAAAUAAUAUAAAAUCAAAAGAACUUAAACACCUGCUUAAAUGAAAUGCCAAACUAUUCUCCAUGUCAUUCUAAAGCAAGACAAAAAGUAUGCGCAAUAUGCUACAGAAAAUCUUACUUAGUCCUCUAUUAAUUCAUUUUAUAAAAACUUUUUUAUCUUCUGAAUACAACUUCAAUGAUCCAAUAUUUGCAUCUGGAAUUUGCUCAACAUGUAAAACAGUUCUUCAUCAGCAUGUUCGCCCUUAUACUGUCCCACUAACUAGAUGGUUUUAAAUUCAUAAAAUUGCUAUAACAGGUGUGGUCUUGGAGACUGUUACUAGGAGAAAAGGGUUUUGCUUGUGUCUUAUAUGUUUAGUUGCUAAAAGAAAAGAAGCCAACAUAAAACCACAUAUAGGAAGACCAGGGCAAGUUUUAUUCAAGUAUAUAUGUAUAUUUUUUCUAAUUAAAAAUAAUUAGAAUUUAUAAUAAAAUAAAAACCAUUUAUUAAUCCAGAUUAAAACCACCUGCAUCUCAAAAAUCUGCUUUAAAGAUCUGCAACCAAUGUUUUGUUGAAAUUUUUAGUUUAAGAGGACACAAAUGUACAACCUAGACACAAGUAUCAAAUUUAUGUAUACUAACUUCAAAAACCACUGUAAUGAGGAACGUUAAUCAAAAAUUUGCAGCAAAAGUUCUUCAAGAGAAAUUUGCCUCACAAAAUAAGAUUACCUUAGCAACAUGCGGGACACCAUUGAUUCUUUCUAAAGGUAUGGCCUUUAAACUAAAAUAAGUUAUAUCUUGUAUUUGUGUGCUAAUUUUAAAAGAUCAAUAAUUAUAAGUAUUAAAUAAAUUGAAUGUAGGUAGUAUCCAUCGUGUUAAUCCUGUGUGGACACAUAAUGAUAUAAAAAAUAUGAAAAUUCACAGACAAAUCACUGAAAGAGAUAUUAGCCACAUUGCUUAAUGCAUACAAGUAGGCAUAAUGCAAUUGAUUUUUCAAACCUAUUACUUAUAAUAAUAUACUAUAACUGGCAUUUAACUAAAAAAGUUAGUAUAUAUUUUGCUUAUAUAACAGGGUAUUAAUCCUGAUUUGGCAAAAGAGACAUCAGUAAAUAAAACCUUAUUAAUUGGAAUUGUUCCAAGCAUAGAAGAAUGUUACUUGAAUUGUGAGCAAAUAUGGAAAAAAGUUGGUCUAUCCGAGAUAUCAUAUAAACUAUCUGCUGAUUUAAAGUUGCUUAACAUUCUGGGACUACAAAGCCACAGUGCAAAACACCCCUGUUGUUUUUGCAAUAAGAGUUCUGACAUGGAAGAUUUUUUAUUUGUAUCUGGAGAAGUUAGAACUCUUGGAUCAUUCAAAGAAAAUAAUUUAGCCUGGAUAGCAGCUGAGAAAAAAGAUUUGAAGCUAAAAGACUUUAACAACUGCAAGAAUUUUCUGUUACUAGUAGGAAAUGAUUUAACCAGGAUUCUAGACAUUUGCAGCAUUCCUGAAUUACACAUUUUUACUGGCUGUGUCAACAUUAUCUCGAAUGAAUUAGCUCACAGCUGGGGAACUAACGAAUGGACACCUUUUUUAAAAAAACAUGGUCUUUUAAAAAGCAAAGUAUCAUGGAUGGGAAUUUGAAGGACCCCAAUGUAAAAGGCUACUCAAACUAUCCAAAGAACUGAGAAAAAAUCUUUCAGAUAAUCUUCAUGGGUUUUGUGAUGCUUUGGAUGCUUUUGAUGUAUGAUGUAUCUCAGUCAACAUUUGGAAAGAAGUUAGCAAAUGGUUUUAAUACUAAUAUAAAAAAUUUUAAACAUUUUCGCGCUUUAUAACUAUCAACUAAGUCAAAAAAACUUUAUAUCUUGUUCAGCCACAAUGUAUUUUAAGUCUUUUAAACGUCUUCUAAACAUUCCUACGUAAAGAACGUUAAAAGACAUUUAGAACAUAACUUUUAAAAAUCAAAUGCUCUUAGGGAAUGAUAUAAAACCUAUGAUACUUUUAUAAGAUUUCUCUUGAAACUAUUUUUAUCUUAAAUUAUUAUUUCAAAAACAAACACAGUAAAAACAAUAACAAAAUAAAAACACCAUACCUACAAU